AUGUAAAUUUUUGUGUGAAUUAUUAUUUAUUUUAAUAAUAGAUAAGUUCUAUUUCAGCCGCAGUAAUUAGUAUUAUUAAUUAAGGAAACUUAGAGAUAGUAAUUUUGGAUAGCAUUGGCUAAAUUUGUGCCAGCAGCCGCGGUUACACUCAUAAUGCGAAUAAAUUUUGUUCGGUAUAAGUUAAUUAAUUUUAUGGAAUAAAAAUAAAUUUAUUAGGUGAAAUUUUAAAUUUGUUAAUUUCUUUUUAAGUAGGUGUUGAAGCUUGUAAAUUUUAAUUUAAAACUAGGAUUAGAUACCCUAUUAUUUAAAAUGUAAGUUAUUACCAAGGUAGUAUUAGUUAUGUUCUUGAAACUUAAAAAAUUUGGCGGUAUUUUAGUCUGUUCAGAGGAACCUGUUCUAUAAUCGAUAAUCCACGAUGGACCUUACUUAAGCUUGUUUAUCAGUUUAUAUACCGUCGUUAUUAGAAUAUUUUAUUAGAAUAAUAAUUUUCAAUAUUUUUUAUAAAAAUUUAUAUCGGAUCAAGGUGUAGCUAAUGUUUAAGAAGAAAUGGGUUACAAUAAAAUUAUUUAUACGGAGUAAUAUUUGAAAUGUAUUAUGAAGGUGGAUUUGAUAGUAAAAUUAAAUAGAUAAUUAGUUUGAUUUUAGCUCUAAAAUAUGCACACAUCGCCCGUCGCUCUUAUUAUUAAGGUAAGAUAAGUCGUAACAUAGUAGAUGUA
rnacentral:rRNA from 1 species